rnacentral:rRNA from 1 species
UACGUAGGGGGCUAGCGUUGUCCGGAAUCAUUGGGCGUAAAGCGCGUGUAGGCGGCCCGGUAAGUCCGCUGUGAAAGUCCAGGGCUCAACCCUGGGAUGCCGGUGGAUACUGUCGGGCUCGAGUCCGGAAGAGGCGAGUGGAAUUCCUGGUGUAGCGGUGAAAUGCGUAGAUAUCUGGAGGAACACCGGUGGCGAAGGCGGCAUCCUGGACCAACACUGACGCUGAGGAGCGAAAGCCAGGGGAGCCAAACGGG